AAGGUUGAUGGGACUGAAGCCUCACUGAGAGCCGUUCUUUGUUCUUGUGUACACUGCAGUAGCUAACACAUACACACGUUUAUUUAAUCGCCGAAUAAGUAAAAGUUGAAUGAACACAAAACAUGCUCAUUGAUUGAUUUCGUCUCCUGUCAUGGUGGCAAACAUCGCAGUGGGGAUGGAGGGCGAGAACAGUCACGGUGCUCCUUCUGCUUGGUUUCUUGUUGCGCCGUUGGACAGUGCUCAUAGUUGAACGUUAUUUACCGUUAAUUGCGAUGUUUCAGUUGUGGUUUCUGACAUGGGCAAUAUGUGCAACCGCCCAGGGCUUUAUUUUUCUAGGGAUAGCAGGAGACCUCUGCGGAUUGUAGCACAUCGAUGAAAGCAAAACAGAAUGAAAUGACAUCAGAUUGCCC